UUUAUGUCAUUGCCUGCUGAC
rnacentral:misc_RNA from 1 species